rnacentral:lncRNA from 1 species
AGGGCGUGGCGGUGUCGCCACGUGGGCUGAAGCUGCUGCCCUGCGCGGGGCCGGUCCGUCGGUCCGUGCUCUCGUUCUGAUGGCGGUUUGUCGUUCCGAGCUCAUCUGUGGGUGUUUAACCCGCUGGCUGUGCAGGAGUGAUUUUUCUCAGGACUCGCACCGUGGCGUGGAGCGCCAGCAGCAGAGGGGCUCUGGCGGUCUCUGUCCGUGCCCGGUCGGCUGCUCCUCUCCCUUCUCUGCUCAUCUUAGGGUUUCUUUAACGGCUCUGUUUGUGGUCACAUCCCUGUGCUGCUCUUCUCAGCGCGGGUGUGCGCUUUCCUUUGAUUUGAGCUUGUUUUCUGGUCUCCAUCAGCUCUGCAGGCACCUCGUGUCGGUGCGCGCUGUGUCUGCUGGGACGUCGAUCCGCAGGGAGGGGAGCACAAAAAAUCCGCGUCCCGUUAAGCGGGGCAGAGCAGCAGCAGCAGCUGAAGGCUCUGAAGUUCACAGGCUGCUGUCUGCACGUGGAGGUGUUGCGUUGUUUCACCACGUGGCCUCGGUUCUGCAGGACAAAUCCAUCAUUGGAGAGGUCUGGGCAUCCCUGCUAUGUCCCAUUGGUGUCAGCAUUGGUGGAAGGAAGAGAACCAGUCCCUGCUGUGAUGCUGGGGUGCCCUAUGCUGAAUUCCACAGGUGCCAAGAGAGGAGGAACUGCCACUUCCUAGGCUGUAAAAAUGCCUUGAGCUGCUGCUGCUGUUUCCACACACUAACAGUCAUCAGAUGUUGGCUAUCCUUUACCAACAGCUUUUUGUGGAGGCAGUGGAAUGGAAGUGUUUCCUCAGAGGGCCCACUGCUACCUGCCUGCUGUCUGCAUUGGUUUCUCCCUCUGAUCCCAUGGAGCUCGCAAGGCUUUCCCAGUGCAUUCAUUCAUUCAGUGCCUCCCACAAAGGGGCCUCUUCAGAAUGGGACCAGAGCACUCUCCACUGCUCCUCAUAUGCCAGCCAAUCGCUCCAGUGUUACCGUCUGGGCUCUUUUUAAUCUGGUUGAGUCCAUGAGAAAUGAAAGCUUUUAUCUCAACUUCUGUAGAGUAGUAAUAAUAACCUGCUGUAAGCCUGGCUGUCCCGAAUGUCACUGCUGGCUCAGGAAAACAAGAUAA